rnacentral:rRNA from 1 species
UACGGAGGGUGCAAGCGUUGUCCGGAAUUAUUGGGUUUAAAGGGUGCGCAGGUGGCUUUAUCAGUCAGAGGUUAAAGACCGGGGCUUAACUCCGUGUUUGCCUUUGAUACUGUAGAGCUUGAAAUACGUAAGGGUAGGCGGAAUUCCUCAUGUAGCGGUGAAAUGCACAGAUAUGAGGAGGAAGACCGAAGGCGAAGGCAGCUUACUAGGCGUUAUUUGACACUGAGGCACGAAAGCGUGGGUAGCGAACAGG